rnacentral:rRNA from 1 species
UACGUAGGGGGCGAGCGUUGUCCGGAUUCAUUGGGCGUAAAGAGCUCGUAGGCGGUUUGGCAAGUCGGGUGUGAAAUCUCUGGGCUCAAUUCAGAGAGGCCACUCGAUACUGCUAUGACUAGAGUCCGGUAGGGGACCAUGGAAUUCCUGGUGUAGCGGUGAAAUGCGCAGAUAUCAGGAGGAACACCGGUGGCGAAGGCGGUUACCUGGAGCUUUGCUGACGCUGAUGCGCGAAAGCGUGGGGAGCGAUCCGG